AUUGAACGCUGGCGGCAUGCUUUACACAUGCAAGUCGAACGGUAACAGGCCGCAAGGUGCUGACGAGUGGCGAACGGGUGAGUAAUGCAUUGGAACGUGCCCAGUCGUGGGGGAUAACUACUCGAAAGAGUAGCUAAUACCGCAUACGAUCUAUGGAUGAAAGCGGGGGACCGUAAGGCCUCGCGCGAUUGGAGCGGCCGAUGUCAGAUUAGGUAGUUGGUGGGGUAAAGGCUCACCAAGCCAACGAUCUGUAGCUGGUCUGAGAGGACGACCAGCCACACUGGGACUGAGACACGGCCCAGACUCCUACGGGAGGCAGCAGUGGGGAAUUUUGGACAAUGGGCGCAAGCCUGAUCCAGCAAUGCCGCGUGCAGGAAGAAGGCCUUCGGGUUGUAAACUGCUUUUGUACGGAACGAAACGGCUCUGGUUAAUACCCGGGGCUAAUGACGGUACCGUAAGAAUAAGCACCGGCUAACUACGUG
rnacentral:rRNA from 1 species